rnacentral:rRNA from 1 species
AUUGAACGCUGGCGGCAUGCUUUACACAUGCAAGUCGAACGGGCCAGGGGGCAACUCCUGGUCAGUGGCGAACGGGUGAGUAAUACAUCGGAACGUACCCCGUAGUGGGGGAUAACUCGGCGAAAGCCGUGACUAAUACCGCAUAUGCUCUACGGAGGAAAGCAGGGGACCNCAAGGCCUUGUGCUAUGGGAGCGGCCGAUGUCCGAUUAGCUAGUUGGUGGGGUAAUGGCCACCAAGGCGACGAUCGGUAGCUGGUCUGAGAGGAUGAUCAGCCACACU